GACGAACCGUGCGAACGUUAUUCGGAAUCACUGGGCUUAAAGCGUGUGUAGGCGGACCCGUCAGUGUCUUGUGAAAUCCCACGGCUCAACCGUGGAACGGCUGGGCAUACUGCGGGUCUUGAGACACCUAGGGGCGAGCGGAACAGGCGGUGGAGCGGUGAAAUGCGUAGAUAUCGCCUGGAACGCCGACGGUGAAAACAGCUCGCUGGGGGUGUUCUGACGCUGAGACACGAAAGCCAGGGGAGCGAACGGG
rnacentral:rRNA from 1 species